rnacentral:lncRNA from 1 species
CAAGAAGCGUGCCUGACUCCUGCAGUCACUUGGAUAACUGUCUGUAGAAGCUGGAGAUCUUCAGAACUUAGUAAAGAGAGGAAAGUCUCUGUAGAAGCCAAGAAGGUCCACUUUGGAUGGUGGUGGCACUGGUGCUCUUUCUGCCUUACCCUGUGGACAGCAUUCGAUUUGUCUCCCUAACAUAGGAAGAACUCUAGAGUUUUUUCCAGAUAAAACAAGGACUGAAAAAGAGUCUUGGAAUGAAGGACCCUUCCAGAAAUGAAUUGUCAAAUGAAAC